UGCCAACCCAGCGUUAGGAAAGAGCUUCUGCUUUCAGUGCCGGGGAGCUCCGCUGCCGCCGGAGGUGCUCACCUCCCUCGGGUCCUUCUGCUCGGCCGGCCGCGAUGGUGCUCAGGAGGGAGGAGAACUCAUAGGGCAGCGUCCGUGGAUGGGAAAUGGAACACCCGGAGGGGAAAGAGGCGGCGGGGCGACACCUGAGAGCAAAGCUGAAGGACGGCAGGAAACCCCCCCCCGCAGCGGGCGGACGGGCACGGGGUCCCCCCGCAGCUUUCCUCGCGACGGAGCCGGGUCGGGCGCUCACGCCGGGCUCUAAGGGAGAACCGCCGCCCGGGUCUCCCCUCGCCGGGAGGGUGGGCGUCAGCAGAACCCCUCCGACGCGCAGCAAAGCCCAGAGUGAGGGUCCCGGCCCCCGUCCGAUGCCCGUUCCGCAGAGCCCGGAGUGGAUGGCGCGGCUGAAGAAGGGCGUCGCUCCGAGGGCCGCCUCCCAACCCCUCGCAGCCACGCCGGGAGGACGGGACGCGGCGGACGACAGGGGGCCGUGUUGCUGGGAGCGAGGCCGGCAAAGCCCCGGCGGCCUCCGGGGGUGGAUCUGGAGAAGUUCCAUAGGGCUGCACCCCCCAGGGAGCCCGGCCGCACUGCUGUGGGGUCGCGGAGUGCUGUGCUGGGUUACCCAACGCCGUUCCCACCACGGGAUGCUCUGA
rnacentral:lncRNA from 1 species